GUGUCAGCAGCCGCGGUAAUACGUAGGGGGCAAGCGUUGUCCGGAAUUAUUGGGCGUAAAGAGCGUGUAGGCGGUCCGGUAAGUCGGCUGUGAAAGUCCAGGGCUCAACCCUGGGAUGCCGGUCGAUACUGCCGGACUAGAGUUCGGAAGAGGCGAGUGGAAUUCCCGGUGUAGCGGUGAAAUGCGCAGAUAUCGGGAGGAACACCUAUGGCGAAGGCAGCUCGCUGGGACGUUACUGACGCUGAGACGCGAAAGCGUGGGGAGCAAACAGGAUUAGAUACCCUCGUAGUCC
rnacentral:rRNA from 1 species